rnacentral:rRNA from 1 species
CCUACGGGUGGCAGCAGUGGGGAAUAUUGGGCAAUGGGCGCAAGCCUGACCCAGCAACGCCGCGUGAAGGAAGAAGGCUCUCGGGUUGUAAACUUCUUUUAUCAGGGACGAAGCAAGUGACGAUACGUGUAGAAUAAGCCGCGGCUAACUACGUGCGCGCAGCCGGGGUAAUACGUAGGGGGAAAGCGUUAUCCGGAUUUACUGGGUGUAAGGGGCGUGUAGGGGGGAAAGCAAGUCAGAUGUGAAAACCAUGGGCUCAACCUGUGGCCUGCAUUUGAAACUGUUUUUCUUGAGUGCUGGAGAGGCAGACGGAAUUCCUAGUGUAGCGGUGAAAUGCGUAGAUAUUAGGAGGAACACCAGUGGCGAAGGCGGUCUGCUGGACAGCAACUGACGCUGAGGCGCGAAAGCGUGGGGAGCAAACAGGAUUAGAUACCCGAGUAGUC